rnacentral:sRNA from 1 species
UUUUGAAAACGGCAUUUUCAAUAUGUGAGGAGAAAUCCAGGUCUGAAUGUUUGAGGACAGAGUCUGGUAUAAGAGGGUUCUUAAUGUAGAAGUCCAUUUAGGAACGGUGACUUAGAAAUUGAAAAGUGGGCUGAAAAAGCAAGAGAGUAGUAUAUUUGAGGGAUGGGAGAGAAAGUUGAAAAAAGGAGAGUCAAGUGGUUGGAAUUUAUUCCUUGUUUUUAAAAAAAUGACUUAAGAAAUUAAAUUAUUGCCUCAGUAAUUGUUUUUUCCUCUCUAGGAUAAUAGCCAAGGUUCUGGAGGACAACAAGCUGCCUGGUGCAAUUUGUUCCUUGACUUGUGGUGGAGCAGAUAUUGGGUAGGUUACUAGGCUGAGAGCAUCCUCUGUUGAAGGACCCCAGGUUGACCAACUAGAAUCAUCAUUACUAGAAUAAUGAACUCACUUAUAACUAAGGAGUUGAGAACGGUUUUUGAAAUCAUUAUUAUUAUGGACUUUGUUGGGUUCUUAUUUUAUUAAUGCCUAACCUCUAUUGGAGGAUGAAUAAGAAUUGUCUUUUUAAUUGCCCAGAGGUACUAUUUGUAAGGUGUUUAUAUCCUGAAAUAACAAACUGCUGUAAUGGGGGGCAGCCUUGUGACUUCCUGACACUUGGUUUAUCAAGGUGUUUACUUACACAGAAAGCUUUGAAAUUGUAGUCUGGGGUCUCACUGCCUGCCAAGAACCUAGCCUAUUGUCUGAGUUUCUCAGCUGACUGAAAAAGGGAACCCUGGGAGCACAGCCUCUUUUAAGUAAACUGUUUUUUUCUUUUUUAAUUGCCAUAUAAUUCACAAUUUGUGUACCAUAAAAUGCUCUCUUUUAAAGUGUACAAUAUAGUGGUUUUUAAAAUAUUCAGAGUAUUGUACAACUAUCACCACUAUCUUAUUCCAGAACAUUUUGAUCAGCCCAGAAAGUAAUCCCAUACCCAUUGGCAGUCUCUUCCCAUUCCCCAUGCCCUCAUGCCCUGACAGUCACUAAAGAAUUUUCUGUCCUAUGGAUUUGCCUAUUUGAGACAUUUUGUAUAAAUGUAAUCAUAUAAUAUGUGGCCUUUCGUGUCUUGCUGCUUUUACUUGGCAUGAUAUUAAGAUGACAUGGACUAUAAUUGUGCUGAACUGGGAUGAAAGCUGAGGUUCUUACUGGCUUAGACUUUGAUUAGGUGAGUUUUCCAGGAGUCAAGUCUUACAACCCAUACUGGUGUGGCUAAAGUGUUAGUUUCCUUGCCCUCCAACACUUUUAACAUACUAUUGUACUUACUGGGCAAUCUCAAAAAGGAGCAAUAAGCAAUAAAUAAUGACUGUAUUCUUGCAUUCUAGGUAUUUAGUCCUUGUGCUGGCCUUGCAAUAGCUCAGAAAAUUAUGGUAGUACAUACAGGAGCAUGUUAAGCAGCAGCCACUUUGAGUAUUAGUGCUCAUGCUUGCUGGGUUGAACCUCGGAAGACUGACCUAGGCAAUUGAGCCAAGCCGUCCAGCCCUACAUUAGACUAAUGCUGUGGCUGCCCUGCUUGGCUCACACUGGACCCUUUGUAGCAUUGAAGUAGGAACAAAGAGGUUCAAAUCAGUAGUGUCUGAUUUGCAUUCCUUAGAAGCAACUGGAAAUCCUAGCAUAGCCUUUAUAAGUCGGCUUCCAUGAGGAAUACUUUAGGAUAGCGGUCCCCAACCUUUCUGGCACCAGGGACUGGGACUGGUUUAGUGGAAGACAAUUUUUCCAUGGACCACGGCAGGGGGAUGGUUUUAGGCUGAAAUUGUUCCACCUCAGAUCAUAAGGCAUUAGUUAGAUUCUCAUAAGGAGCAUGCAAUCUAGAUCCCUUGCAUGCACAGCUCACAAUAGGGUUCACACUCCUAAGAAAAUCUAAUGCUGCUGCUGAUCUGACAGGAGGUGGCACUCAGGCAGUAAUGCUCGCUGGGUCGCCUGCUGCCUACCCCUCCUGCUGUGCAGCCUGGCUCCUAAUAGGCCACAGACUGGAACUGGUCAGCGUGCUGGGGCUUGGGGACCCCUGCUUUAGGAUAUUUCCCUACAGGCUUUUAAGUUUGAAUUCUUUUAUUUUUUAUUUAUUUUAUUUUUAUCUUUUUGAGACAGGGUCUCAGUCUGUCUCCUAGGCUGGAGUGCAGUGGCUCGAUCUCAGCUCACUGCAACCUCUGCCUCCCAGGUUCAAGCGAUCCUCCCACCUCAGCCUCCCAAGUAGCUGGGACUACAGGCACAUGCCUCCACACUUGGCUAAUUUUAGUAUUUUUUAUAGAGAUGGGGUUUCAUCAAGUUGCCUAGGCUGGUCCUGCCCAAGUUUUAAUCCUUAAAGGAAUUACACAGCAGUUAAAAGUCUGUAAAACUGGAAUGCUCAGCAAGGAAAUGCUAAGAUCAUAUUGUCCAGUCACUCACUCAGUAUAGGAAAGACUUUCUUCCCUAACAACUUCUUCUAGGUGAUUUCUAUUCAAAUGCUCACAGCAGGUUAGCCUCUUCUGCCUAAUGGUUCUACUUGUGAAAAACUUUUUUCCUUCUCAUGAAGACCUUCCCUUGCUCCCCUGGGACAGACUUUCUUGUAGCUUUGAGGGACUGCUUUUUCAAGGGCACUUCAGUGCUGGGUACCAUUAGAUGUUGUCAUUGCUGGGUUUCUCUGCUUGGGUGACCGACCGUGUCUGUUCCCUUGUAGCACAGCAAUGGCCAAAGAUGAACGAGUGAACCUGCUGUCCUUCACCGGGAGCACUCAGGUGGGAAAACAGGUGGCCCUGAUGGUGCAGGAAAGGUUUGGUAAGUGUUGGCUUUCUCAUGAGGAUUUUAAUUCUCUCAAAUAUGGAGGUGAAAUCUAAAAGUUGAGUUUUUGUUUUCCCCUCAACCUUUUCCAUGGAGGCAGUGGUCAUGUUUAUUUGAAUGUCUAAGUAAAAGAAAAGGGUACAGUUAUUAGCAGUUGAAUAUUAGGGAAGUCCUAAAUUUAAAUACCAAAAUUUAUGAAAAUCCCAGCACUUUGGGAGGCCAAGGCAGGUGGAUCACAAGGUCAGGAGAUCCAGACCAUCCUGGCUAACACGGUGAAACCCCAUCUCUACUAAAAAUACAAAAAAUUAGCCGGGUGUGGUGGCCGGCGCCUGUAGUCCCAGCUACUCGGGAGGCUGAGGCAGGAGAAUGGUGUGAACCUGGGAGGUGGAGCUUGCAGUGAGCCGAGAUGGCACCACUGCACUGCAGCCUGGGAGGCAGAGUGAGAC